rnacentral:lncRNA from 1 species
UUUUUUUCAAAAAUUAAAAUAGGUCAUUUUUAGAGAGAGAAAUGGAAAGCGCGUCCAAUUGGGUGUGCUUUCCGUUUCUCUCUCCCAAGGUUAGGGUUUUCUUUUUAUGAGGGAAAAGUUAGGGUUUUUAAUAUUUUUAAGUUUAGGGUUUUUGGGGUUUAGGGUUUUUAACAGAGUUUUGAGCUUUUGAUUGGAAUUGCGAAAUUUCAUAAGUAGUUCUGAGGAGUCGCAGAUAUAAUAACGCGGCUCAUAACACAUACAUUUCAUAUAUCAUGG